GACGAACGCUGGCGGCGUGCUUAACACAUGCAAGUCGAGCGGAGCGGCGAACGGGUGAGUAACGCGUGAGUAACUGCCCCCCUCUCUGGGAUAACAGUUGGAAACGGCUGCUCAUACCGGCUAGUGGGGGGGGACUCGCGUCCUAUCAGCUUGUUGGUGGGGUAGUGGCCUACCAAGGCGACGACGGGUAGCCGGCCUGAGAGGGCGACCGGCCACAUUGGGCGGAGAUACGGCCCAAAGUCCAACGGGAGGCAGCAGUGGAGAAUAGUGCACGAUGGGGGGAGCCCGGAUGCAGCAAUCCGCGGGCGGGAUGACGGCUUUCGGGUUGUAAGCCGCUUUCGGCCAUGAGGCGGUAGUGGCAGAAGAAGCAACGGCUAACUACGUGCCAGCAGCCGCGGUAAUAC
rnacentral:rRNA from 1 species